rnacentral:rRNA from 1 species
CGAACUCUGGUAUUGAUUGGUGCUUGCAUCAUGAUUUACAUUUGAGUGAGUGGCGAACUGGUGAGUAACACGUGGGAAACCUGCCCAGAAGCGGGGGAUAACACCUGGAAACAGAUGCUAAUACCGCAUAACAACUUGGACCGCAUGGUCCGAGUUUGAAAGAUGGCUUCGGCUAUCACUUUUGGAUGGUCCCGCGGCGUAUUAGCUAGAUGGUGGGGUAACGGCUCACCAUGGCAAUGAUACGUAGCCGACCUGAGAGGGUAAUCGGCCACAUUGGGACUGAGACACGGCCCAAACUCCUACGGGAGGCAGCAGUAGGGAAUCUUCCACAAUGGACGAAAGUCUGAUGGAGCAACGCCGCGUGAGUGAAGAAGGGUUUCGGCUCGUAAAACUCUGUUGUUAAAGAAGAACAUAUCUGAGAGUAACUGUUCAGGUAUUGACGGUAUUUAACCAGAAAGCCACGGCUAACUACGUGCCAGCAGCCGCGGUAAUACGUAGGUGGCAAGCGUUGUCCGGAUUUAUUGGGCGUAAAGCGAGCGCAGGCGGUUUUUUAAGUCUGAUGUGAAAGCCUUCGGCUCAACCGAAGAAGU